UACGAAGGGUGCAAGCGUUAAUCGGAAUUACUGGGCGUAAAGCGCGCGCAGGCGGCUAUCCAAGUCAGUGGUGAAAGCCCGGUGCUCAACUCCGGAACUGCCAUUGAAACUGUUUAGCUUGAGGACGAGAGAGGUGAGUGGAAUUCCCAGUGUAGAGGUGAAAUUCGUAGAUAUUGGGAAGAACACCGGUGGCGAAGGCGGCUCACUGGCUCGUUUCUGACGCUCAGGCGCGAUAGCGUGGGGAUCAAACAGG
rnacentral:rRNA from 1 species